CUUAUCAUUUAAUUCCAAAUGCAUUCAAGGCGCAUGCGUUGAGGAUGUGUGACUGAACAGGAAAUUCCAAAUAUUCAAUGACCUUUCACUUAAUUUGCUCCAAAAGCGACGGCAGUGAAAAUUCUAAGCUAUCAUCUUACAAGUGCAAUCGCAAUCGUCUUCAACAAUUUUUGCUUUUGUUUACUAAUCAUUUCCAUUAUAUUUCAGUUUGGAUAUAUAUUUCUUUUAAAAUUGUGCUAAUAUAUGUGUGCUUUUAUUGUGAAAUUACAUAUCAGUGGUUGUUUUUGCUGUUUUCUUCGUUCUGUGAUUUAUUUUUCAAUUGGGAUUUCUUUAUUUCUGGAAACGAUGGCAGAAAGAGCAUCCAGCAACCAGAGAACUCAGAUCGGAUCAGAGCCAGUUCAAUUCACACGACUUGGAUGCCAACAAAGGAUGAUAGUUGGGCAAACACGGACCCCUGGACACACCAGAGGUGGGAUCAGGUGCCUAGGAGGAGUAAGCAUCCCCUGUUGACCGGUCACACCCGCCGUGAGCCCCAUAUCCUGAUCAGAUAAUGAGAAUGAUAUAGACAUGAUAGAAGUGGAAAAAGAUUGUGACUAUUUUAGUAUGAAAAAGGAUUUGUCAACAAAUGAUGCAGAAAGGAAACGAAAUAAAAAAGAUUCCUGUACACUUCAAUUCACAAAGAAAACACCCACCAUUAUAGAUCUACACAUUUUUAUAUGACGGUCACUGAACGGGACGUAUUAUGUUAUGAUGCUGUCCAUGUGUCUGUCUGACUGGCUGGCUGUCCGUCCGGGGUCAUGUUUUCCGGACUUUUUCCCGUAACAGAUGCAUAUACAACUUUGAAAGAAAACCAAGAAAGGGACUACUAGAUGAGAGUGAAUGAGGUUCAUCAAUUGAUGUUGAUCCUGAAGCCAUUAAAGAAAUAAGCAGUGAGCUUCAUUUUACCUGUAAGCCUAAAAGUCAGCGGCACACUUGGACGGAAAAAGAGGACAGACUUGUAACAGUUUUUCACAGAGGAAAUAAAUGAUGGAACACAAAAAGGAAAUAAGGGAGCACUAAACAUCAAAAAUAAAAUGAAGAGCUUUAUUCAGCAAUAUCCAGAAUUUCUUAAGGACUAUGAAGUGUCUAAACAAAAAUUCCUGAUCAGAGUGAAACUUUUAAACUGCAGAAGAAGGAAAAGAGAGGUGUAUUUCCACAAUCUUGGAAACAUUGCUCAGUAAAAAAUUACAUUAUGGAGUCAUCAUUUAAAAAGUUGACAAAGUGAACAUGUAUUUCAGCUCUACAUCUACAAGUUUCAUGAAAGUUUAAACAUGGGGUGUUGUUGGAGUGGUAGUACCUUUGUUCUAAGAAGCAAGUUGAUUCAAAGCAGCACACUUUUUAUCUAACAAACACAAGAAAACAACUACAUGUUAAAAGCAUCACAGAUAUUCUUUAUCGCAAAGAUCUUAAUGGUGACAAAAAAUACUUUUUUCUCAGUAGCGUAUCUUUCAACAGCAGUCUUAGCAACACAUCUACAUGCCCUCAUUAAGUUUUGUAAAGGUUUGAAAUCUGGGUGUAGGUGGAGUGGUAGUACCUUUGUUCUACACUGGUCCACACACCACACACACAUUUCAGACUCUUACAUCCCCUUACACAAACAGCACUAUAUAAACAGUCUUUUCAGCAAAACAAAUGCCAAGCUAUUGUAUAUUUACCCAAAGGAACACAACUUACAUUUCCAAUUUGUGUAUCUGAAACAUGUAUAUCACCAUGUCUCCAUACAAAACGGCACUAUUCUUUUCAGCAACACAUUACCACCCAAGUCAAUGUAUGAUGUACUGUUAUGACAUUGAUAAUAACUUCCAAUGAUAUACAUAGGCUAAUGUAUACAAUUACAUAUUAUAUAUUCUGGAUGAUCUAAAUCUAUAAAUCUUUUAAUUUAUGAAAUGUAUUCCAUUUCUUCUAAAAACAUCUACAUAAUAAUUUUUGCAUGCUUUUCUACUUUGUACACAUUUGUCCAAGUGGUAACAAAGUUAUUUAACAAAGGCGAAUUGCCUCUACAUUUGCAACUAUACACAAAGUAUUUUAAAUAAUAAUUAAUCAAAUUGAUCAUUUCAUUUUCUGAGCUACCCAGCAAAAAGUUUUUUUUAUCAACAACAAUAUUUACUGAAAAAAAAUCCCUAAACCAGGACUGCACAUUCUUGAAAAAUAAAACAUUUUCACAGUCAUACACAACAUGCUCUAUUGAUUCCUUUUGUUUUGCACAAAACGAACAUAAAUCGUUGUCUAUUUUCUUUAUUUUUAACAAAAAUGAUUUGUGAUUAAAAUUUUAUGAUUUAUACGAUAUUGUACCUCUACAUUUGUAGAUAUUUGUAUCCUUUGUAAUAGUAAAAACAUUUUUAUUAAUUGUAUUCCACUCUUCUUGAGAGAUAUCAAAUUGUAUAUCCCACUUCUUUUGACCUGUAGGUUUUUCUUCACAAUAAUUAAAAAUUUGGUAGUUUUUUCUUGUUUCUUUUAAAAUACAUGAAAGGGGCUAUAUGUAGAGGAAUAGUAGGUUCUUGAACUUUUAUAAACUGGUUUAUUCCAUUAACUCUCAUUGCUUUCUUCAAUGCUUGUCUUAAACCAGAAAAUGAGAUUUUACUUUAUACAUUUCCAUGAAUUGAUUAUAAUUCAUGGUAUCUCCAUUCUCAUCUAACAAUGAGUUAACUGUAUAUACAUUAUUUUCACACCAUUCUUUCAGAUAUAAAGUUUUUCUAUUUAUACCUUUAUGUUUUCAUUGUACUAUAAAACACUGUUAACCAUAAGUUCAGAAGAUUUUUUUUCUCAAAAAGAAAAUACAAAAAUUUCUCACAAAAGAUACUACAAUAACUAUUUUUACAGCAGCACAAAAACAUCCUGUAACAAAAGUCAUUCAGCAACACAUCUACAUGCCCUCAUUAAGUUUUGUAGAUGUUUGAAAUCUGGGUGUAGGUGGAGUGGUACAGUAUAUCCGCAACGUUAUUCUUGACAUGAUAAACAAUAGAGCACGAUACACGCACGAUAGGAUAGGAUACAUGCACGAUACGAUAGGAUACACGCAUGAUACGAUAGGAUAAACGCAAAACCUGAUAAACGAUCUUCACGAUAAACCUGAUAUAAACGCAAAACAUGAUAAACGAUCUUCAUGAUAAACGGAAAACCUGAUAGGAAUGUUGUAAAUUUAGAAACGAGUUAGACAGAACGAAAUUUUGAUACCUACAACAUAAUUACAUUAUGUUGAUAAUAAUAUUGAAGGAUUUCAAUGUUCAUUAUAUACCUACAUUACGGACAAUGCAGAUUUUUUGUUUUCUGCGUUCUUGCAGUUGGCAAAAUCUAUAGGUAACUCAGGAAAACCGCGUUCUCAUCGCGGGGUGACUAUCAGUUACCUGUCCCCGUCGCGGUAACAUUUGUUUAAAACAUUGAUCGAUUUUGUACCAUAUAAUUUCUUUCACCCAAGGUCGUACUUUUUAUUAUUAUUAUUAUUUAUGUUUUUUAUGCCAUCACAGCUAAAAUAAAAAAACUAAAAUGCAUACGGCAUUGAAUUCAUUAUUUGAUAUCUAUAUGAAUUUUCUCAGCCAAUGAUUCUAAAACUUAUAUUGUACGUCACCUAAUGUUUAAUAUAUAAAUUAUACAGGGAAUUCACUAAAUGUAAUAUAAUGUAGUGGUAUCAUGCUUCCGUAGCUCUCUUAUGCUAAUGUAUAUUACCUUGAAUAUGAAAUAAAACCAAGUAAUAUUUUGUGUGUAGCGAGGAGGGGGUUAUUUUGCAUCAAGCUCUAAGUUCACGGCUCAUUCAACAUCUCAAGUUAUUUUCAUAAAAAAAUCAACCGCACUACACCUGUUAGAUAUUUUUACACUAUGAAUGAUAAUUGAUAGUCAUAAGUAAUUGGAACAUAGUUAUUUGAAUUGAUAUUUUGUUAACAAAACAUAAAUAAACUGUUUAAAAAGCAUAAACAAACCCCCGCUUGUUUUAAAUUCACAAUUUUGAAACUCUUAGUGUGUAAAAAAUUCAAAUAAUCAUCAAAACCAACAUAAAUUUCCAGUAUCUACACGUACGACUAUUGGUACAUGUGUACAUGUACAAAGUAAAAACAAAACAACGAUGACAGCGGAAUUGUGCCCAUUUGAGCAGAAUUUUGGGGGAUGCAACACCCUUGCACCCUUUUAAAACUUAAUCUUCUAAUGGGUGAAAUACAAUGUCUCUGAGAAUGUUAGCUGUCAAAACACGGGUGAUACACAAAAUCAGAUAUAAGGACGCGCACAAGUUCAGCAGUUGCUGUAUAAGUAGCAUACAAGUGAAAAAAAUCGGAAGAAAAAGAACCAUUAUUAAAAUAUACAUGUAUGUGAUAAACAAUGUAAUUUACUGAUUUUUCCUUUCAAAUCGGAACUCCCUAUUUUUCUGUUAGUGUUAAUUACCAAUAAUUGUUUCUAGACAAACAAGUGUUUAUGAACUUCAGAUGAAGGAGCUUUCAGAUUUACUGUCCUCGGUUUUCUUGACAGACCACUGCCUACUUUCCAGACUACUUAGAAUUAAAUUGUGAUAAAUUUUCACUCUCUCUGGACAGACAAAUACAUGUAGCUCUUCUUCUGCCUUAAAAUCGACAACUUUAUGUCCUCCUUCAAAUAUACCGUCUUUCCUCGAUUCCUAAAAAUAGCUUCUUUAACAAAACGAAUAAAGGUUUCGGAAAGUAUCAUACUUUUUCAUUAGAUUUUAUAUACGAUCCCGAUAGUUUCCGAAGCUACACCAUAAACGAUUUUCACGAUAAACGGAAAACCUGAUACACGCAAAACACGAUAGACCUGAUAAAUGCAAAACAUGAUAGAAAACAGAAAACCUGAUACACAAUAGGAUAGGAUACACGCACGAUACGAUAGGAUACACGCACGAUAGAGCACGAUAGGAAUGUCAAGAAUAACGUUGCGGGUACUGUAGUACCUUUGUUCUACACUGGUCCACACACCACACUCACAUUCCAGACUCUUAUCUAAAACUCAUCACAUCCCCUUACAGAAACAGCACUAUCUAAAAUAUCUUCUCAGCAACAUGACCACUCAAGCUAGGACAGAUUUUCACCUUAUAUACACAAAAAACCCACAUUCAUGUAAUUGUACCCAACACAAGAAAGAACCGAGAAAGAUUGAAAAGGUACUAUCCUAACCAACCUACAUCACCUCGCAGAAACAGUGCUUCAUUUAUGUCCUGAGGUAAACACGAACUACAGUCACAAGCCUCCAGGAGAUGAUCAUGGACUUCAAGCAGUGACCAGAGUUGACCAAAGACUACAUCCACUAAUUGCACAGAUUUGACCAUAGACUACAACAAGAAGUACAUAGUAGUUGACCAUGAACAACAAUCACAAGCAGCCAGUGGAGGAAGGUAAACUAUAGCUGGAUGGACUACAAUGGAUGUCUACAAUGGACCACCAUGGACCUAAAAAAAAUAGUCGCUCCAGCUCACACAGCCUUGUCUACCUACCUGUCCAGCAGUCGGCCUACUGCACUGUACCUGUCAAGAUGUUUACCUGUUUUCUAUGUUUUUUGGUUGAAGCUUUGCCACAUUUAAGUCUGCAGUCAAGCCAUGAAUACCAGAGAGCAUAUCAAAAGGAUUACCACCUGAUGUCAGAAGACGUCAGAGGCACACACAAUGAAGAGGAAAUAUGCAGAUGAAUUAAACCAAUUCAGUACUGCCCACCUCCUUAGCCAACAGGACAACACUUCUGCCAGACCCAUGGGAUGCUGAGUGGACUGCUGAGUGACACAUGGCGUUAAAGUUCCUGGCCCCAGUUGUGUUCUUGGGAGCAUAAGUGAAGACCCGCUGGUGAAGAUUCUCACAUUUGUUGGUUGUGGCGAGUUGGCAGACCUUCUCUCCAGAAUUGUUUACAGAUGACAGACUGAAUACUGUCCAUGUCUGCAUAGUCAAGGCCCAGAUGUUUUCCGUGCGGAAGGAACUUGGUGCUGUAGCCCGUGAGAUGGGCUGUGCAGGGUUCUUAGCUUGUGGAUGAAGCAGUGCUGAAUUGGUACUUCAUUCUCUCUAGAAUAGUCCCUUAUGGUCUUUUGGAUCUGAGCACUGGCAUCACUGGUAAUGGAACAAGGUUGAACAUAACUUAUUGGCAGUUUGGAGGGCCAAAACCAGUUUUCGGGAGGUGUUGUUUUCCACCGAAGCUCUGGGUUGCUGCCUCGAAUCCUGGCUGUGGCCUGUUGUUGUAAGAGGUGUCAGUCUCGAUGUGGACUUCGUUUCCUCGACCGAGAAAUUGGUUGACACGUCAGACAUACCGCUGAUUGUCGAUCAUCGAGGCUACGUUGAUUUCCUCCACUCUGUCACACAUCUGAUUGAGUUUCCGCUGCAGACCACGGCUGUCAGGUGGAUUUAUGUUGAGGCAGCACAUAAGGAAACGUGCAUCAGACACUCCCAUCUUAGACUUGGUGAGAGCCAGUACCAGUCCAUCAUUGAGGGCACUUGAUUCCGGUCCUCAAGUCUUCUUGACAGUUGUGUAGAGCUGCAUGUCUGGCUUGGCAGGUCGCAGUUUGGUUGGGAGAAUGAGAUCUUCAGU